UGGCUUCGUGGUCGAGUGGUAAGACUACUUGCCUCUCAUCCUAGAGUCCCGGGUUCGAUCCCCGGUCGACGAGCUAG